rnacentral:rRNA from 1 species
AGGUCAAGCUACAAAGGGCGCAUGGUGAAUGCCUUGGCACUAGGAGCCGAAGAAGGACGCGAUAAGCUGCGAUAAGCCUUGGGUAGC